rnacentral:rRNA from 2 species
CUUUUACUAGGUCUAAAUAGCCUAGGGAAUAAGGGGAGGGCAAGCUCUGGUGUCAGCCGCCGCGGUAAUACCAGCUCCUCGAGUGGUCGGGGUGAUUAUUGGGCCUAAAGCAUCCGUAGCCGGCUCUGUAGGUCCUCUGUUAAAUUCAGCGGCUCAACCGUUGAGCUGCAGGGGAUACCGCAAGGCUAGGAGGCGGGAGAGGCGGACGGUAUUCCGCGGGUAGGGGUAAAAUCCUUUGAUCCGCGGAGGACCACCAGUGGCGAAGGCGGUCCGCCAGAACGCGCUCGACGGUGAUGGAUGAAAGCUGGGGGAGCGAACCGGAUUAGAUACCCGGGUAGUCCCAGCCGUAAACGAUGCAAGCUAGGUGACGGAAUGGCUGUGAGCUAUUCCGGUGCCGCAGGGAAGCCGUUAAGCUUGCCGCCUGGGGAGUACGGUCGCAAGACUGAAA